rnacentral:rRNA from 1 species
UACGGAGGGGGCUAGCGUUGUUCGGAAUUACUGGGCGUAAAGCGCGCGUAGGCGGCUUUGUAAGUUAGAGGUGAAAGCCCGGAGCUCAACUCCGGAAUUGCCUUUAAGACUGCAUCGCUAGAAUUGUGGAGAGGUGAGUGGAAUUCCGAGUGUAGCGGUGAAAUGCGUAGAUAUUCGGAAGAACACCAGUGGCGAAGGCGACUCACUGGACAGAUAUUGACGCUGAGGCGCGAAAGCGUGGGGAGCAAACAGG